rnacentral:misc_RNA from 1 species
UACGAAGGGGGCUAGCGUUGUUCGGAAUUACUGGGCGUAAAGCGCACGUAGGCGGGCUAUUAAGUCAGGGGUGAAAUCCCGGAGCUCCACUCCGGAACUGCCUUUGAUACUGGUAGUCUAGAGACCGAGAGAGGUAUGUGGAACUCCUAGUGUAGAGGUGGAAUACGUAGAUAUUAGGAAGAACACCAGUGGUGUAGGCGGCUUACUGGCUCGGAACUGACGCUGAGGUGAGAAAGCGUGGGGAGCAAACAGG